AAAUUGAAGAGUUUGAUCAUGGCUCAGAUUGAACGCUGGUGGCAGGCCUAACACAUGCAAGUCG
rnacentral:rRNA from 1 species